UUGAGGCUGCAUUUGUUCCUGAUUUGUUUUUUUGUUUUUUUUUUACUUCAAAAUAAGAUAUGUGCAGUGUGCAUAGGAAUUUGUUCAUAGUUUUUUAAAAACUAUAGUCUGGCCCUCCAACUGUCUGAGAACCGUGAACUGGCCCCCUGUUUAAAAAGUUUGGGGACCCCUGGUCUAUAUGUUCCUUUCCAAUUCUGUGAUUCUGCUGUCACAUGCAUUUGCUUAUAACUUUGUAGUCAAGGAACAUUAUUACUUGUCCAGAAGGAUCUGCUAAACAGCAGAUUAUCUUGAGUUGAGAUAUUUGGCCUUAUGCUCUCACUUAACCAUAGAAGUCCCUGAAUAGACAUUGUUUCUCUGACCCAUUCCAUUCAUUUCUCAGUUCCCCUAUUUAUCCUCAUAAUAAACCUAUGGCUGUAUCACUGAUGUGGCCUUCAUAAUCCUAAAGUUAUAGUUAGUUGGUUCAUAUUAUAAAUAUAUUCAGGGCUUAAUUCUCCUUUUUAGGAUGUACAUAUGAAUUCUGUGUAUUGGGGGGGGGGGUCAACAUUAGUAAAGUGAUUGAUUGCACAAAGACAGCUAUUUUUUUUUAAGUUAAACAUCUCUAUCUGUUUAACUAAUUGCUGCGGAACAAUGUGAACUACAAAAACAGUUUUUUUUUACAGGUCCAUGUACACAGAUUUGUCCAAAUGGAUCCAUGUUUCCUUGAGUAGUGAAGUUUAAUUUCCAGGCAAUUUCCAUCAAGACCAAAGUUACAGUUUGAAGGGGAAAAUACGUAGAGGUGUAUGCAUCUACCAUCUACACACAUUCCCCAAUAUUAUGGUAGUAAAGAAUGUGUAAACUAUUUUCCCCCUCUAAAUGCUCUGUUCAAAAACAACAAUUUCCUACUCAUCUCCAAAGCGACUCAACAAUAAUUUACCUGUAAUUAGAAGGCUUAUAUCCCAGUGUGGUCACAAGUAAUUUUUAUAUGGCAGACAUUUAUAUUCACACUCACCUUCCACCACUGUACAUAAAAUGUAGUAUGACACAGGAAUUUUGUGGAUUUCUAUUCUUUACUAAGGAAUGGGUGAAAUUUCACAAAUAAUCCAGGGUUUUACAUAGCCCAUUGUAUAAAUAAUUGCAUCAUGGAUUAGUUAAUAUACAUGGCAUACAUACUUACUCACUGUUCAGAGCUCACUCUGAACUGGAGAAAUGUUAUGAUUUAGAAUAUAUAUUAGUAGAAUUCAGUGGUUAAUAUAAAGAUGAACAAAAUAAUAUUUGCUAAGUAUGCUUAUUAGGGAGAGAAGGAUACAUAAAUAUGUGUCAGUGGUCUAAUGAAAAAUGUAAGACGACAAAUCCAGUUCCAGUCCCAAUUUGCUAGACUUUGACUCUAAAUAUGAACAGGCCCAGAUCUCUGUUGGGUGCACAUUUCAUAAUUCUUUAACUUCUGUGUCUUUAUCCUAUGAAAUCCUGGAAUUUAUAGUUUUGGGGGACGAUGACUUAGAAUUCUUUAGUGUAAUUCCCUGAAGAACAGCAAUAGAGCUUUAUUCCAGAAAAUUAUUAAUACCUCGUAAAACUACAAAUCCAAGCUGAGUUGUUGUGAGUUUUCUGGGCUGUAUGGCCUUGUUCCAGAAGCAUUCUUUCCUGACAUUUCACCCACAUCUAUGACACGCAUCCUCAGAGGUUGAGGGAUCUAUUGGAAACUAAGUAGGUGAGUUUUAUAGAUUGUGGAAUAUCCAGGGUGGGGGAAAGAAUUCUGUGUCUGCUUGAGGUAUGUUACAAGUUGCCACCUUCAUUAGCAUUUUAAUGGCCCACAGUUUCAAGGCCUGGCUGGUAGCUGCCUGAGGUAAUCCUUUGUGGGGAGAUGUUAGCUGGCCCUAAUUGAUUCUUGUCUGGAAUUCCCCUUUUUCAGUCUUGCUCUUUAUUUACUGUUCUGGUUUUAGAGGGUUUUUUUAAUACUGGUAGCCAGAUUUUUUUCAUUUUCAUGGUUUCCUCCAGGCAUUCUAUGAAAUAUCAGUUAACAUGAUAUAAUUUAGAAAAAAUGGCAUGAUUUUAUAUAACAUGCCAAAAAAUCAAGUAGUAUAAGAGCUAUAACUGGAUCUACUCAUAAGUACAGACCUACAAUGGUUACUCAUUUAAACUCCACUGGCGAAUUAACAGUAAGAAAUUUUUAAUACUUGGGAGUAUGGUGAGGUAAAAUAUGAAAAAUGAUAUUUUUUCAGCCCACCUGAAAUGAAUAGAUGCCAUAUGACUGUAUGAAUAUUGUGAAUAAUAAUAAUAAUAUAAUAAUAAUAAUAAUAAUAAUAAUAAUAAUAAUAAUAAUAAAUUUAUUCUUAUAUCCCGCCCCAUCUCCCCGAGGGGACUCGGGGCGGCUCACAACAAUAAUAAAAACAGUGACAAAUUACACAUUGUAAAAUCAAACAUGAACAGCAGUCAUACAAUCAAUACAUACAUCACAUGUUAAAAACAAGGAGAUAAAACAGUUCUAGGCCGAAAUAGAGGGCUUCUGUAGCUUCGUGGCAGAAGUACUCAGCAAGGUAUCAAUAAUCAUGGUAGAACACUCUCUAAUUAAAUUAAAUGGACAGACAAGUCAACCCCCAAAAAUUAAUCGUCGAAGGCCCUCUGGAAAAGCCAGGUUUUAAGGCUUUUUCGAAAGGCAAGGAGGGUGGGGGCCUGUCUAAUCUCCCUCGGGAGUGAGUUCCAGAGGCGGGGGGCCACAGCGGAGAAGGCCCUCUCUCUCGUCCCCACCAGCCGCAACUGCGAAGGUGGUGGGAGCGAGAGGAGGGCCUCCCCCGAAGAGCGAAGAGAUCGUGCAGGUUCAUAGGGGGAGAUGCGGUCUCUAAGGUAGGUGGGUCCCAAACCGUUUAGGGCUUUGUAGGUGAUAACCUGCACCUUGAAUUGGGCCCGGAAAACAAACGGCAGCCAGUGGAGCUCCUUAAACAGAGGCGUAGAACGCGCCCUGUAGUUUGCUCCUGUUAGAAGCCUGGCUGCCGAGCGCUGAACUAAUUGCAAUUUCCGGGCCGUCUUCAAAGGCAGCCCCACGUAGAGCGCAUUGCAAUAGUCCAGUCUAGAGGUAACUAAGGCGUGAACAAUUAUUCUGAGUUCAGUUUUUUUUAACUGGUGUCCCUAAUAAAUGACAGUUGACACAAAGUAUAUUUCACACUGUAGCAUUAGUGUACUGAAAGAUAAAGAUAAAGAAAUAUUGCUAUGAAUGUUGAAUUGAAUGAGGGUUGUAGGAAUAUGUUUCUGCAAAUAUUUUCACAUGUUUUAACAAUAGUCACUUUUGUAGACACAGAAAUCUUGAAGGCUUAUUUGAUUUCUUUGUCCCAACUGCUUUGUUCAUUAGUUUCUUGGCAAGGAUGCUGGGACCUUUGUUGGCCUCAUCAUGUGGUCGUUCCAAGAAUUUAGAAUUCACACUUUCAAGUUGUUUCAUGCACAUUCUCAUUAAUUUCAUUGAAAUCACACACUCAUUUUCUUGGUAAGUAAUCACUCUGUGAUUGCUCAGUUAUUCCAUUCUGUAAACACAGAUGAGAUGUUUGAAAACAUGCCAAAUUGUAAAGGACAUCAUCUUUGGAGUUUGCUGUUUCAAAUCAAUUGAAUUGACUAUGACAACUGAGCUAGGGACCUCAUCACAUUGAGGCCAAGAAUCUGGGGGACAGCAGUGGGAAACAUGGAGCAGUAUAACACUGCAUUCUCUUACUGUUGUGGAUCGUGGGAUCCCUAACUCACAUUCCCUGGCUUCCCUCCAAUUCCUCCCUGGUUUCUUCUUCCUGGGCUCAGUUUCUCUGCACUCUUGGCCUUCUGAAGGCAUGGAGCCCAACAGAGCCCCGCAGGAAGUAGCCCUGUGUCAUCUGAUGGGCUCUGGGGACUCCAUGCCAGCAGUGGGCUUGUAGCACAUAGAAGAUGAUUCUCAAUUUCAAUGUGAUGAGGCUGAAAGUUACAGUCCACAAAGACAAAGGUGGGCAGUACACUUCAGGAAGAUUCUUGGGUUUGCUCUGGACACAAGCUCUUCAGUUCUGGUGACAUCAUAAUGGUAGCAAGCACCUUUGUUCCACCUCCACUAUUUAAUAACUCAUCAAGUAGAAGAUUCUGAGGAAGGCAAAAUCUUUCAGACAAAAGUAAACUGCUGCCUGCUCUCCUGGUUUGUCUGUUUUUCCUUCUUAAUAAAUGUUGGAUUUUUAACCACUCUCAGAUGUUCAUUGGCCAUGUUUUUCCUUGUUUACAUCUGUGAAAUAUUAUCAGCGUAUGAAACAGAGCUCUUUCCUAAUGGUAGUACCAGCUACAACCCUCCCAGUGAAUCAAUUGUUGAAUGGUAGUCAACACUUAUUAAAAAAAACCCCCAUUACUUAAAUUGACCUAUUUUUGAAAUGAUUAUCAAUUAGUUUUAGGCUUCAGACCUCCUUAGCUGUCCUUUUUUUCUGAAUGUGUUCUGUAUAUGUCAAGCAAUACACAACCAAAGUGGCACCCUGCUUUCUGGUAGUACUAGUGAACUGGAAUUAUUUAUUUAUUUAUUGGACUUGUAUACCACUACUCCCAAUUUGGCUCGGAGCGGUUUACAGAAAUAGAUUAAACAAUACAAUUGGCUUUAAAUAACAAUAAUAACAGAACAUAACCCCAAGUUUUUCACCCAUCGAAAGCUUGUCGGAAGAGAAAGGUUUUACAGGCUUAUAGUGGCAAACCAGGUUGUAUUAAUUUCUACAUAUAAAUAUUCAGUCAAAUUCCAUUUUUGCACAAUCUAAAUGUGCCCAUUAUAUAGCAUGAUUUAAUGAAGUAGCUGGGGCAUCAUUGGAAUCAAAAUAUAUACAGUAAAUUGAACAGAUGUGUGUGUGUGUGUGGGGGGUUCUACAGUGAAUAAAAGUUGUUUAAUGAAAGUAUUUCAGAAUGUUUUCCCUGAAUGACUGGAAGUGUGCCUUAGGCUAAGAAUAAUAGCUCUGUGAUGAAGCCUCUGUAAAUCUGAAAUUUCUACAUUCCUUUUUGUGUGUGUGUGUGUGCAGUUAAAACAGUUAGUGUUGAUAAACCUCUUAACUGAUGCUGGAUCUGGUAUGUUAGGAUCUCAGUUGUUUCAGAUGCCUGGGUUUGUUUUCUUCAAUUCUAUGCACUUUGGCUUAGUAAUUGUUUUGGGGAACAGUUUAACAAGCAACGUGAUAUUUUUCCUUGUUACCUUUCCAUUCAUCUAUUGAGACUGCUGAGGUCUGUAGAAUGUGUUAACAAGAUAACAGGCAUGUUGACUGCUGAGACAUCUGAUCACCUGCAGAGUUUUCAUAUCUAACACAAUUGAAACACGUUUUGUUCAAGCAGAUGUGAUGGCUGCAUGGGCCUCUGUACUUUGCGUAAAGAAUGUGAGUAUAAAUGUGCUCAAAUAUAAUCAGAAGCAACACAGAUCCAGCCUCUGAGCUGUGGUGAAGUUCAUGUGAGGACAGCUUGUCUACAGUUUUCAUACAUUUAAAGGAGGACUUAUUCUAUGCAGUAGAAUCUGUUUAUUUUAAAAGGAAAGAGCUAUACAGCUGAUCUCCACUUCCUCUGAUUCAUCCAUUCCCCGACUCCUUUACCCACUUUCUUUCUUUCUCAUGCUAUUUUUCUUCAUAUAAUCAAAACAGAUCCUGAAUUGGAGUGUCACAUUGCCAUCGAAGGUAAAAAGUGCUGGAUGUUGAAAUCAAUGCAACAUUGAAAAUUGAACACAGCUGAGGGUCUGGUGUAACAUUUUUCAUGUCCUCUCCCCUGUUCCACUCAAUUGUUCCUAAUCUUUUCUUUUUAGUUAUGUCACUUUCUGUUCACACAAUCUGUCAUCUUAUCUAGCCUCUUGGAAAACCAAUAGGCACACUCACAGUCAGAUCUCUCAGCUGGAUGACAAAAGAAACUAUAUCCAGUCAGCUGCUAUCUCUCCUCUAAGAUCUUCCUGCAGUGUAACUGGUUAGACAAAGGAAAUGUAGGCCUGUGACAAUUGCUAUAUUGUCUGUCUGUCUUUCUGUCUAUCUAUGUAUCCAACAGCAUCAGUGUCAUCAACACCUUCUCUCCUACAAUGCCAGCUAAUUUAUUCUCACUAAAGCCAGUAAGACCUGUGGCUAGCCCAGAAGCUAAUGAGAUCCAACCACUUCAGAACCAGGAAAAUAAAUGAAUGAGAACUAUGCAGUGUACCUUGGCAGAAAACAACCCUUACCUGCCCUCAUAUACUCAGUGGAAAACUACAGCCAAGCUGCCACAAUUGUUUGAUUGAUGGGAGCCAGAGAAAUAAGCGGAUCAAAUUGAUGGAUUCCAUGCUGGUUUACAAUAUUAGAAAAUGCUUUUCAAGCAGUCUGCUGAGUGUGUGUAGAAAUGGCCAUCAUAUUUCAAAUAUCAAAGCAAAAAGCUGAAAACUCCUAUUAACAAUAUUUCCUGUACAAUGAAGCUGGGUAGGGCCUGUUUCCAUUAAAUACCUUCAAAAAUCUAUGUUAAGUCUCCUUGAUCACUUCUGCCCUACUUGUGUUCCCUUGUUUCUUAGGAUAACAUCUCUAUUUAACUGUGUCUCUAUAUUUUUGGUUUCCAUGGAUCUCAUCAUGUCUUCAAAAGUGAUUUGUAGUAUUUUUCAAAGGCAACACUUAUAGAAUUCCUCAAAAGACCUAUUGAAACAAUUUCUUCAUAACUGUCCUUAGCACUGAUAGGUCCCAUCUGCUUGCCAUAAAGGUGUUAAAGUUUAGGCACUUCUUAGAAAAAAAGAUGACAAGCCUAGUCCAACACUUAUCUACUUUGUUUAAAAACCAUGCUUUUAAGAGUCAGGACUUCUCUGAGCCUUGAUGGGAGAAUUUGUCAGUUUCAGUUUCUCCAAUUUCUGUUAAAUUUCAAAUUUGUUUUAUCUUGUAUCUGAAGGUAUCUGCCAAAUUUGGAAAAUCCUUAUUAUACUCAAAAUAAAAUGGAACCCAUCUACAGUAAAAGGAAACUGUUGCAGGGAAAACUGACCAUUUUAUCCUUUGCUCCUGAGAUUACUUACUAUCAGUAGUAACAACACACACACAAUACUUUAUGCUCAGAGAUUUUGAAUGCAUGGUGGACUUCAUGGGAUCGAAUAAUCCCUCUGAGUCCGCUGAUGGAAGCAGUUCCAUAGCAGAAUACUACCUAUGCAAUAUUGAGUUGCUGUCAUUAUUUCUGUUGUCACUGUCAUAAUCAUGUAUUAUUGUAUGAGGAGGUGAGGACUAGACAAUAAAUGUAGCCUGGAAAAGGGGAUGCUUCAGAAUGACUCACUCUGAGAUAGUCAAUCUCAAGUCAGUUGAGGAACAGGCAGAAAGGGGACCCAAAGAGAAGGAGAUCACUAUCUGAAACACAUGUAUAAAGAAGGGGGCAGUGAAUAUUGUAUUGAAAGGAGCUAUGCUUCAGCAAAAGAAAAGAAAAGAAAAGAAAAGAAAAGAAAAGAAAAGAAAAGAAAAGAAAAGAAAAGAAAA